UUUUGUCUCCUGUAACAAUUUACACGCCGUGUAACUGUGAAUCUUUUAAAGCCUCAGUUUUAUGACCCUGUGGAGCCAGGGGACUUUGAAGGACUUCUGAUGACACACCUGAACAGCCUGGAUGUGCAGCUUGCCCAGGAGCUUGGGGACUUCACUGAUGACGACUUGGAUGUGGUGUUCACGCCAAAGGAAUGUAGGACUUUGCAGCCCUCUUUGCCAGAGGAAGGGGUUGAACUGGACCCUCAUGUCAGGGACUGUGUUCAGACCUACAUCCGUGAGUGGCUAAUCGUGAACCAGAAAAACCAAGGAAGUCCAGAAAUCUGUGGCUUUAAAAAGACUGGAUCUCGAAAAGAUUUUCACAAGACGCUUCCGAAACAGACGUUUGAGUCGGAAACCUUGGAGUGCAGUGAACCCGCUGCUCAGGCAGGCCCCUGCCACUUAAACGUGCUGUGCGAUGUGUCUGGGAAAGGCCCCAUCACUGCCUGUGACUUUGACCUCCGCAGCCUGCAGCCUGACAAGCGGCUAGAAAACCUCCUGCAGCAAGUGAGUGCUGAGGACUUUGAGAAGCAGAAUGAGGAGGCCCGGAGGACCAAUCGGCAGGCCGAGCUCUUUGCCCUUUACCCCUCAGUGGACGAGGAGGAUGCUGUGGAAAUACGUCCAGUACCAGAAUGUCCCAAGGAACACCUGGGCAACAGAAUAUUGGUCAAGUUGCUGAACUUGAAGUUCGAGAUUGAAAUUGAGCCUCUGUUUGCCAGCAUUGCCCUCUACGAUGUUAAAGAAAGGAAAAAGAUCUCAGAAAAUUUUCACUGUGACCUGAACUCUGACCAGUUCAAAGGAUUUCUGCGAGCUCACACGCCUUCAGUGGCCGCAUCAAGUCAGGCGAGAUCUGCAGUCUUCUCAGUCACCUACCCGUCCUCAGACAUCUACCUGGUAGUCAAGAUUGAAAAAGUCCUGCAGCAGGGAGAGAUUGGAGACUGUGCAGAGCCCUACACGGUUAUCAAAGAAAGUGAUGGUGGAAAGAGUAAAGAAAAGAUUGAAAAACUAAAACUCCAAGCUGAAUCCUUCUGCCAGCGUUUGGGGAAAUACCGGAUGCCGUUUGCCUGGGCACCCAUAAGCUUAUCAAGCUUCUUCAAUGUCUCCACCCUUGAGAGGGAGGUAACUGAUGUGGACUCUGUGGUUGGGAGAAGCUCAGUGGGUGAACGGAGGACAUUGGCCCAAUCUAGAAGGCUUUCUGAAAGAGCCCUCUCCUUGGAGGAAAAUGGGGUUGGAUCCAACUUCAAAACCUCCACCCUGAGUGUUAGCAGCUUUUUCAAGCAGGAAGGAGAUCGCCUUAGUGAUGAAGACUUAUUCAAGUUUUUAGCUGACUACAAAAGAUCAUCAUCCUUACAGAGACGAGUCAAGUCAAUUCCAGGCUUGCUCAGACUAGAGAUUUCUACAGCUCCAGAGAUCAUCAAUUGCUGUCUGACUCCUGAAAUGCUGCCUGUGAAACCCUUUCCUGAAAACCGGACACGCCCGCACAAAGAGAUUUUGGAAUUUCCAACACGAGAAGUAUAUGUCCCUCACACUGUGUACAGGUAAGAAACACAGGUUCAGGCUGGGCGUGGUGGCUCACACCAUAAUCCCAGAACUUUGGGAGGUGGAGGCAGGAGGAUUGCUUGAGCUCAGGAGUUUGAGACCAGCCUGGGCAACAUGGCAAAACCCUGUCUCUACAACAUAUACAAAAUUUAGCUGGGCGUGGUGGUGCAUGCCUGUAAUCCCAGCAACUUGGCAGGCUGAGGCAGGAGAAUCGCUUGAACCCAGGAGGCAGAGGUUGCAGUGAGCCAAGAUUGCACCACUGCACUCCAGCCUGGGAGACAGAACCAGACUCUGUCUC
rnacentral:sRNA from 1 species